rnacentral:rRNA from 1 species
GGAAACCGGAGCUAAUACCGGAUAGUUCCUUGAACCGCAUGGUUCAAGGAUGAAAGACGGUUUCGGCUGUCACUUACAGAUGGACCCGCGGCGCAUUAGCUAGUUGGUGGGGUAAUGGCUCACCAAGGCGACGAUGCGUAGCCGACCUGAGAGGGUGAUCGGCCACACUGGGACUGAGACACGGCCCAGACUCCUACGGGAGGCAGCAGUAGGGAAUCUUCCGCAAUGGACGAAAGUCUGACGGAGCAACGCCGCGUGAGUGAUGAAGGUUUUCGGAUCGUAAAGCUCUGUUGUUAGGGAAGAACAAGUGCGAGAGUAACUGCUCGCACCUUGACGGUACCUAACCAGAAAGCCACGGCUAACUACGUGCCAGCAGCCGCGGUAAUACGUAGGUGGCAAGCGUUGUCCGGAAUUAUUGGGCGUAAAGGGCUCGCAGGCGGUUUCUUAAGUCUGAUGUGAAAGCCCCCGGCUCAACCGGGGAGGGUCAUUGGAAACUGGGAAACUUGAGUGCAGAAGAGGAGAGUGGGAAUUUCCACGUGUAGCGGUGAAAUGCGUAGAGAUGUGGAGGACACCAGUGGCGAAGGCGACUCUCUGGUCUGUAACUGACGCUGAGGAGCGAAAGCGUGGGGAGCGAACAGGAUUAGAUACCCUGGUAGUCCACGCCGUAAACGAUGAGUGCUAAGUGUUAGGGGGUUUCCGCCCCUUAGUGCUGCAGCUAACGCAUUAAGCACUCCGCCUGGGGAGUACGGUCGCAAGACUGAAACUCAAAGGAAUUGACGGGGGCCCGCACAAGCGGUGGAGCAUGUGGUUUAAUUCGAAGCAACGCGAAGAACCUUACCAGGUCUUGACAUCCUCUGACAACCCUAGAGAUAGGGCUUUCCCUUCCGGGGACAGAGUGACAGGUGGUGCAUGGUUGUCGUCAGCUCGUGUCGUGAGAUGUUGGGUUAAGUCCCGCAACGAGCGCAACCCUUGAUCUUAGUUGCCAGCAUUCAGUUGGGCACUCUAAGGUGACUGCCGGUGACAAACCGGAGGAAGGUGGGGAUGACGUCAAAUCAUCAUGCCCCUUAUGACCUGGGCUACACACGUGCUACAAUGGACAGAACAAAGGGCUGCAAGACCGCAAGGUUUAGCCAAUCCCAUAAAUCUGUUCUCAGUUCGGAUCGCAGU